rnacentral:rRNA from 1 species
GUCUUAUUGAAUAUAAUUUUAAGUAUGAUCUGCCCAAUGAUUAUUUAAAUGGCUGCAGUAUUUUGACUGUACAAAGGUAGCAUAGUAAUUAGUUUCUUAAUUAGGAACUGGAAUGAAUGAUUGAACGAGAUAGUAACUGUCUUAAUUUAAAUUGUAGAAUUUUAUCUUUAAGUUAAAAAGCUUAAAUUUUUUUAAUAGACGAGAAGACCCUAUAGAAUUUUAUAUUGUUAAUAUAUUUAAAUAUUGGAUUUAAAAAUUUAAAUUUUAUUAUAUAUAUUUAGUUGGGGUGAUUAAAAAAUUUAAUAAACUUUUUUUUUAAUUUUAUCAUUUAUUUAUGAUUUAUUGAUCCAAUAUUUUUGAUUAUAAGAUUAAAUUACCUUAGGGAUAACAGCGUAAUUUUUUUGGAGAGUUCUUAUCGAUAAAAGGGAUUGCGACCUCGAUGUUGGAUUAAAGUUAAUUUUUAAUGAAGUAGUUAAAAUAUUAGGUCUGUUCGACCUUUAAAACUUUACAUGAUCUGAGUUUAAACCGGCGUGAGCCAGGUUGGAUUCUAUCUUUAAUAAAAAUUAUAUGUUUUAGUACGAAAGGACCAAAUAUAUGUUAUAUUAAUUUAUCUUGAAUAUUA